rnacentral:rRNA from 1 species
CCUACGGGCGGCUGCAGUGGGGAAUAUUGCACAAUGGGGGAAACCCUGAUGCAGCGACGCCGCGUGAGUGAAGAAGUAUCUCGGUAUGUAAAGCUCUAUCAGCAGGGAAGAAAAUGACGGUACCUGACUAAGAAGCCCCGGCUAACUACGUGCCAGCAGCCGCGGUAAUACGUAGGGUGCAAGCGUUAUCCGGAUUUACUGGGCGUAAAGGGGGCGUAGACGGGAGCACAAGUCCGGAGUGAAAUCCUGUGGCUUAACCCUAGAACUGCUUUUGAAACUGUGAGGCUGGAGUGUGGGAGAGGUAGGCGGAAUUCCUGGUGUAGCGGUGAAAUGCGUAGAUAUUAAGAGGAACACCGAUGGCGAAGGCGGCUUACUAGACUAUAACUGACGUUGAGGCUCGAAAGCGUGGGGAGCAAACAGGAUUAGAUACCCUUGUAGUC